CAUUGCAUUCUCACUCGGUCCCUUUUAUUGGCCACAAGAUCUGGACUACAGCGCCAUCUCUUGACCAUUUCAGAACACAACACACUGAACGCCCGAUGAUCGCCUGGAGCUCGCUCUCCGAAAGCGUCUGAGCAAAUGUUCAAAUCUUUAUUAAGCGAGCGCAUAUUUGAACUAAAAACAGAUACAUUCUCGCAUGAACAACUCUUAAAGCUACAUUUCAAGACCAAAUAACAGUAUUGUGUGCCUUUUACUGCGCUACGCAUGAAACACAGCUGUCAUAUAUGGACUAGAUUUGUCUUAAUUACUUCAGCAGACAUUCCCCGCUUCCUUAAUUGAAUGUUUUUCAAAUAUAUUUAUGCUAACUUAAAAUAAGACGUCUUCGUCUCAGUAUCGCUGCGGAGAUGGGCACUAGAUGGCGCCAUUGGUCAUACAACUUUGUCUACUAAACUCAUUUCAGACAUUUAAGCAUCCGCCUUCAGAUCAGAAGUUUUUUGAAAUAAUGAGAAACGUUUCACUCAAGUGUCCAAACACUUUUGACCGGUGCUAUUCUUAUUAGGCUUGUUCGAGUUGACCCACACUAGCCUGCCACCGACUGGCGAGAUCAGCCGAUUGCUGGCGAGACAAGAGCCGUCACAUCGGACACUUCCUGCUUCCCAUAGGGAGCUGAACCUACAGCAGACCACGUGAUAUUCAUCGGCGCUCGCUCUCCAUUGUGAGGCUGGGGACGGGAGCCAAUCGCGUCGCGGAAUGAGAAUGGACACGGCCACUCAGCGCGAUCACACCCUUUGAGAGAUUGGAUGACGAGCGCAGGUAGCGGAUAAAUCAGCAAACAGCCUGCCCCUGCCGCUCAGUCUCCUGCUGAACCUCCACAGUCUGGGUCUUCAGAAACGGCUCCUGCCCCACGAUCAUUCCUGAGGCCUCCUCCAAGUUUGUCAAUGGAAUGGGUGCCAGCGCUGUUCGGUUAUCAACUUUCUUCAAAAUAUCUUCUGCAGAAGAAAGAAAGUCAUACAGGUUUGAAAUGACAAGAGGGUGAGUAAAUGAUGACACAAUUUUCAUUUUUGGGUGAACUAUCACUUGAAUGAUAUUUUCUAUGACAAACCCAUGACAUAAACCUACCCAUCAUAGGAACGUGCAAAACACUAGAUUUGUAAACCUUUUUUCAUAAUAAUUUAAAUGAAGACAUUGUCCUUCACAGGUAUAGACGAUCCUCUUUGACAUCUUAUCAAAAUAAUCAUGAUUG